AAAAAUAAAUUAGAGGAAAUAUUAUGUACCACCUUUCUUUCUAGUUAGAUUCUAUCUUUUCCAACACCCUAUCAUCUCUAUCUAUCACCUCUCAAUUUCUGUCACUAUUUCUAAUCUCUCCUCCUCCUGUAUCACCUGUCAGCUCUUCCCCCACCCCUUCACAUUGGACAUUUCCCCUCUAUCGAUCAGCCCAGCUGAAGGAUCUUGACACAAAGGUUGACUUGCCUACCUUCUUGCAUGACAAUCUUUGUACCAUUGAUGCUGCAUUUAUUAUUAAAAUGCAGACUGUUUACUCUGAAAGCUUCACAUGAACAAGCAAUUUCAUUGAACCCUGGUGUAUAUCCUAAUCUGAAUUUCUCUCCACAGAUGCUGCCUGACCUGCUGAGUUCCUCCAGCAACUGUUUUUUCUUUGCUUUAGCGUAUCACUCCAGGUCAGUAUUACAUAGUCCCACACCGUCAAAGGCCAGAAGGUAAACCUGAACAAUAUCCGCCUUGGAGAGUGUGAAAGCUUUCUCCUGUGGUCUAGCUGGGUUUAACAACACUGGUCUGAGUCCUGUAAGAUAAGCCACCAGUUCCCAGUAGGUCUGUGUCACCACAGCUCGGGUUCCUGCAGAGAUUACUGACUGCUUUCUCAAUUGGACUGCAGUGCUGGAUUGUGCUCGAGGGAGAUGCUGCAUCCAUUCUUUGGCACCAUGCAGUGGGACCUCUGCUGACUGUGAUGGGAACUGCAGCUCCGCUCAAACAGAGGGACGCUGUUCAAGCUGCAGUCGUGAGUCUGAAGUAUUGGUGUUCUCCAGUAGGUGGACACUAGGGAAAAAUUUUCCUUAUCCACGCAGGUUCGGAGAUGACUGGAGUCUGCAGAGAUUUGGCAUGACAUCAAAAUCCUUGGCACACUUCUGUAGAUGUGUGGUGGAGAAUGUGCUGACUGUCUGCAUUACAGCCUGGUAUAGGAACACCAAUUCCUUUGAGAGGAGAAUCCUACAAAAGGUAGUGGAUUCAGUCUAGUCCAUCAUGAGUAAAACCCUCCCAGUCACAGAGCACAUCUACAUAAAACACUGCUGUAGAAAAGCAGCAUCCAUCGUCAGAGAUCAGCACCACCCAGGCCAGGCAGAAGGUAAAAGAGCCUCAAGACUCACACCACCAGGUUCAAGAACAGUUACAACCUCUCAACCAUCAAGCUCUUGAACAAAAGGGGAUAGCUACGCUCAUUUAAGGUCUCUGUUAUAUUGUUACUUCUGCUUGUUAUUUAUUGCUAUUUAUUUAUAUCUGCAUUGGCACAGUUCGUUCAGUUAACUGUUGUUUACAGUUUACGGUUGCUAUUCUAUAGAUUAGCUGAAUAUGCUGCAGGAAAAGCAUCUCAGGGUUGUAUAUGGUGACAUGUAUGUACUCUGAUAAUACAUAUCAGAACCAACAACACUGAGGCUGAGAGGAUUGAAAACUUGAAUUUCUUAGGACUGAACAUCACCAAUAGCCUGUCUUGGUCCAACCCCAUAGACAUCACAGCCAAGAAAGCAAACCAGUGUCUCUGUUUCCUUAGGAGGUCAAAGAAAUUCUGCAUGUCCCCUUUGACUCUCACCAGUUUUCACAGAUCUGCCACAGAAAGCAUUCUAUCCUGACCACAAGAAACUUCUAAGAGUGUGGACACAGAAACCAACCUCCCAUCCAUAGACUCUGUCUACAUUUCUUGUUCCCUCAGUAAAGCAGCCAUCAUAAUCCACCCUGAAUAUUCUCUUGACCAUUGAGCAGAAAAAGUAUAUAAGACCAGCUUCUAGCUUCUAGUUGUGUUUGUAAGAUUAUUGAAUGGUCUUCUAGUACAAUAAAGUGGACUCUUGAUUACAAAAUGUACUUAGUUAUGACCUUACAUCUUACUGACUGCUGCAAGGCACUUUCUUUGUAACUGUAUCACUACAUUCUUUUCUGCAUUCUGUCUUUCUUUUCCCUUGUGAUGCACUCAGUGUGCUGGUAUGAUGAAAUUGUCUGUAUGGAUGGCGUGCAAAUCACAGUUCUUCACUGUGGUGUACCUUGCUGCAAAUGGUAAUACCAAUUUAAUGCUUCUGGUAAUUUUGGAUAUCUAUUGCAGAUUUUCAUCCAGUUAAACCAAAGGCAUUCUUCAUCAUCCUCUCCAAUUAUUCCUGGAUAUUUUGUGGGUCAGGCCUCUUCAGGUCACAUGACAACUCCCAAUGGAGUGUUAAACUGCCCAGAGUCUCCCCCCUGAGGACUCAGCUGCUUUGGAAGCUGACAAAGGCAAAUGUGCGAAGCAUUGGCUAGUAGUUACCAUGUAGGGCAAUGGGCAAAUGUUGGGAGAGAUUUCUGGACGAUGAUGUUGUUGCAACAUUUAUGCUGUUCCAGGAAUGGUCAUGAAGUUUGGAAUGCUUGACGUCAUGUUGGAGCGUUACAAUCAGUUUAGGUGUCAAUCACAUUUAGUUCACAUAUUUAACACUAGGGCAAAACAAUGCAUCAUGUUUUCAACACA